CCUACGGGUGGCAGCAGUGAGGAAUAUUGGUCAAUGGACGAGAGUCUGAACCAGCCAAGUAGCGUGAAGGAUGACUGCCCUAUGGGUUGUAAACUUCUUUUAUAUGGGAAUAAAAUGUUCCACGUGUGGGAUUUUGUAUGUACCAUAUGAAUAAGGAUCGGCUAACUCCGUGCCAGCAGCCGCGGUAAUACGGAGGAUCCGAGCGUUAUCCGGAUUUAUUGGGUUUAAAGGGAGCGUAGGUGGAUUGUUAAGUCAGUUGUGAAAGUUUGCGGCUCAACCGUAAAAUUGCAGUUGAAACUGGCAGUCUUGAGUACAGUAGAGGUGGGCGGAAUGCGUGGUGUAGCGGUGAAAUGCUUAGAUAUAACGAAGAACUCCGAUUGCGAAGGCAGUUCACUGGACUGCAACUGACACUGAGGCUCGAAAGUGUGGGUAUCAAACAGGAUUAGAUACCCGUGUAGUC
rnacentral:rRNA from 1 species